AUGCCUCCCAAAGCUCCUAAAGCAUCCAUCACUUGCAAUUGGAUGAGGUCCAAUGUCACCGACGAGACCUUAGCGGAUUUUGUAAAGUCAGGUUACCUGCCUAAGAAGGACGUCAUGUCCUACCGUGCCCCUGACCCGUCAGAGGAGAGACCACAGCCAAAGGACGGGGAGGUAGUGAUUUUUGCGGAUCACAUGAGCCGGGGCUUCGCACCGCCCGGCUCAAAGUUUUUUAGAGAUGUGCUGAACUUCUUUGAUCUGCGGCCACAAGACAUAGGACCCAAUUCUGUGUCCAAUAUAUGCAACUUCCAAGUGUUCUGCGAAGUCUACCUUGGAGAAGAGCCCAACUUGCUGCUCUUCAGAGAGCUUUUCUACCUGAACCGUCAGAACGAGUGCGCCAACGGGCCAAGCUUGGAACUUGGUGGCAUCUCCAUUCAGCGACGGAGAGACUGCCUUUUGCCUUACGCCGAGCGGCCAAGCCACCCAAAGGACUGGAACCAGACGUGGUUCUAUUGCCAAGACACGUCGCCGGCUGACGAGAGUCCGCUGCCCGGCUUUCGCCCCUCGCGUCUGGAACCAACACACCCUCUGUCAGACAAGCUGACUCAAGCGGAGCACCAACCUCUGCUCCCCACUAUUAACAAGAUCAAGGCUCUUCUGGGCAAUGGUCUCAACGGAAUUGAUCUGGUCCGGGUCUGGAUCUCGUGGCGGGUGAUCCCCCUGAGCCGCCGCCCCGGCUUAAUGUGUGAAUACACAGGCCGGAAAGAUGACCCCCUGCGACACAGCCGCAACGAUCUUCCUGAAGACGUUGCUGAAGACAUGACCAAGGCCCUUUUAAAUGAGAGCUUGGCAGACUGUGGGAGGACCGGGUUAGCCCCCUUCUGCAAGACCAACCCAGCCCCAGCAGUAAGCCGCUGA
rnacentral:rRNA from 1 species